UGGGGAAUUUUGCACAAUGGGCGCAAGCCUGAUGCAGCGACGCCGCGUGAGGGAUGGAGGCCUUCGGGUUGUGAACCUCUUUCGCUCAUGGUCAAGCCGCAGUUUUGAUUGUGGUGAGGGUAGUGGGUAAAGAAGCGCCGGCUAACUACGUGCCAGCAGCCGCGGUAAUACGUAGGGCGCGAGCGUUGUCCGGAAUUAUUGGGCGUAAAGGGCUUGUAGGCGGCUUGUCGCGUCUGCCGUGAAAUCCUCUGGCUUAACUGGGGGCGUGCGGUGGGUACGGGCUGGCUUGAGUGCGGUAGGGGAGACUGGAAUUCCCGGUGGAGCGGUGGAAUGCGCAGAUAUCGGGAGGAACACCAGUGGCGAAGGCGGUUCUCUGGACCUUUCCUGACGCUGAGAAGCGAAAGCGUGGGGAGCAAACAGGCUUAGAUACCCUGGUAGUCCACGCCGUAAACGGUGGGUACUAGGUGUGGGUCUCAUUCCACGAGAUCCGUGCCGUAGCUAACGCAUUAAGUACCCCGCCUGGGGAGUACGGCCGCAAGGCUA
rnacentral:rRNA from 1 species